rnacentral:rRNA from 1 species
CCGGCGCACGGGUGAGUAACACGUAUCCAACCUUCCGUUUACUCGGGGAUAGCCUUUCGAAAGAAAGAUUAAUACCCGAUAGUAUGUUUUUCCCGCAUGGGAGAACCAUUAAAGUUUUUCGGUAAUCGAUGGGGAUGCGUUCCAUUAGGCAGUUGGUGAGGUAACGGCUCACCAAACCUUCGAUGGAUAGGGGUUCUGAGAGGAAGGUCCCCCACAUUGGAACUGAGACACUGUCCAAACUCCUACGGGAGGCAGCAGUGAGGAAUAUUGGUCAAUGGACGAGAGUCUGAACCAGCCAAGUAGCGUGAAGGAUGACUGCCCUAUGGGUUGUAAACUUCUUUUAUAUGGGAAUAAAGGAGCCUACGUGUAGGUUUUUGUAUGUACCAUACGAAUAAGGAUCGGCUAACUCCGUGCCAGCAGCCGCGGUAAUACGGAGGAUCCAAGCGUUAUCCGGAUUUAUUGGGUUUAAAGGGAGCGUAGGUGGAGGCUUAAGUCAGUUGUGAAAGUUUGCG